AUUGAACGCUGGCGGCAGGCCUAACACAUGCAAGUCGAACGAGUGGCGGACGGGUGAGUAAUGUCUGGGAAACUGCCUGAUGGAGGGGGAUAACUACUGGAAACGGUAGCUAAUACCGCAUACCAUCGGAUGUGCCCAGAUGGGAUUAGCUAGUAGGUGGGGUAAAGGCUCACCUAGGCGACGAUCCCUAGCUGGUCUGAGAGGAUGACCAUCCACACUGGAACGGAGACACGGCCCAGACUCCUACGGGAGGCAGCAGUGGGGAAUAUUGAACAAUGGGCGCAAGCCUGACGCAGCCAUGCCGCGUGUAUGAAGAAGGCCUUCGGGUUGUAAAGUACUUUCAGCGGGGAGGCGUUACCCGCAGAAGAAGCACCGGCUAACUACGUGCCAGCAGCCGCGGUAAUAC
rnacentral:rRNA from 1 species